AAGGGGUAAACAAGGUUUCCCUCUGUCUUUAGUUCGGGACAGUUGCACCAUGGUGUGCUCUGGCGUGCGUGUGCACCAGCUCAUCCUGCUUGGGAUUCUUCAUGGGCAUCACAGCUGUGACUUGAUCUCUUGUCAGUUUUGAAAAAAAUCUCUCUGAACGUUGCAACCAUCCUCUUUUUCCCUCACAUUUGUGACUCCAGUGACCUCUGCAUCAGACCUUUCCUUGUGUCACAGUCUUUAAUCUGGAUGUGCUCAUUUGGACCGUAUUCCAGGCUACUGGUCCUGUUUUCAGUUACGUCUAUUCUGUUAUCCAUUGAGCUCUCAAUUUGUUUUUGUAUUUUUAUGUUGUGGAAUUUCCACUUGGUUCUUUAUUACUGUUUCUAGUUCUCUGCCCAAACUUUGCAGUCUUGUCUUUUAAUUCCUUGAACACAUCACUCCUAAUGAUUGUAAAGUCAGUGUUCAGGAGUCCACCGUGGGCUGCAUCUGGGGCUUUUUCUGUUGUUCAUCAUUUUCUGUUUUGCAGUCACGUUUCCUCAGGAGCUGGAUGGUUUUUCAGGCAGGGCACAUUGCUCAUGAAAACUGCUGGAGGCGUGUUGAAGUUCUGGACAGCGUCGGCGUCCCCCAGAGGACACUCGCUUUGUCCCUGGGAAUAAGCGGAGCCACAUGUAGGAGCUUCUCCAGCUGCUCUUCUCCCCUGGAGUUUUGUGAACGCUGCGUCAUUGACUUUCAUAUUCAGUGUCACUGUAAAAAGUUUAGGAGAACCCAGUUGCAGUUCGUCCUCUACUUGGGGGCUUGAAUACCUUUUUUUUUUUUUUUAAAGCUUCAGCAAUCUAACCAGGGCGUCUGAUGCCAGCUGUUUUGUUUCCUGCUACAUUCUUUGUCCCCUUUGUCGUAAGAGUCAUUUCAGGAAAUUUCCUUUGUAUUUUACCUCUGAGCAGUCUGUACUGUCACCAGUCUCCGCAUUCUAGAGACACGCAUCCUUCUUACCUGCUCUGGUCAUUGUCCGCCUCCCUCCUUCUGGUUUCCAUCUCCUUGUCCGCAUUCACCGAGACCCCCCAGCCCUUCCCCCCUGCCCUGAACACAUCUCCACCAUGUCCUUUCUACGUCCGGCUGCUUCAGCUUUAGUUGCUGCUCUGCAGAACUGACCAGUGUGUUCCAUUGGUCCUGGUUUCCACGAUGACUCUCAUAUUUACUUAGCUCCUUGUCCUUUCUCCUGUCUUGUCUUUGACCCCUUGUCCUAGUGAGUUUUGCUUUUGGUGAGUUCCUCCCGGCUUGUGGGGAGCUGGCCUUGCUGCUUGUUUCCUCCCAGCACGUUCUGGAGGCUGUGCCCCUCCUGCUGUGUCCGCACCCUCUCCCCGCUGGUUCGCCCGCUGCUCUGAGUCUUAAUUACAGAAACACAGGUUGAGCAGCUGCUGACUGCCCAGACUCGUGAAGUUCUACUAUUGGACUGUUGGAAAGCUCUGUGGGGCAUAACUACCAUCACCCCCUUUUAGAGAAGGGGGCACUGAGACCCAGAGAGUUUAACUGGUCACCACAUCACAUGGGCAGAGAGUGGCAGCGCCGACCACGGAGGACAGAGCGGCCUUCGUCAUCCAGUGUGCCUUCCGGAAGGUCCUGGCGAGAAAGGAGCUGGCCCAACGUCAGCAGGAGCGCCGGGACUACCUGGAGCAGAUGGAGAAGCUGCAGCGGGAGCCAGGAAGAAGUCAAAGAAAAGAAACCAACUUCAAAUAUAAAGACACAAAUAGGUGAAAAUUAAAAGGACAGAACAAACAUGCCAGGAUCACACUAAAUAUAAGAAAGCUCAAAUGACUUUACUAACAUCAGACAAAGUACACCUCAGAAAAGAGAGUACUUCUUGGGCUAGAAGAGCCGUCUCAUCAGGAGGACGUGGAGUCCUAGACUUACACGGCUGCUAACAGAGCGUCGAAACACCCGGAGCAAAAACUGGCAGCACUGCCAGGAGGAAUAAACCCGUGACUACAGGGUCAGGUCUCCACAUCUCUGCCUCAGUAACGGGUGAAGCAGGCAGGCAGAGGAGCAGCCAGGACGCAGAAGAAGUAAGUGGCACUGCCGCCCGUUACGUGUCCAUCCGCGGGCCGCCCUCUUCACUCACACGUCUGCCCGGCGUUGUUUUGUAAGUUUAUCUGUUCAAUCCAAUCUUUUCCCCCAGUAGUUGCUUUACUCUUUCAUCAGUUCAGUCUCUCGUUGACGUACGAGGCGCUUAUUGAUAAACCUACCAGUCUACCAACUCAUUAGUGUAUCCGUUUCACCCUUACUAUCACCUGAAAUCAUCCCUCAUUUAUUUACCUUUUGUUAAUUCAAACAUCCAUCCAUCCAUCCACACAUUCAUGUUUAUUUGACAGAAAAUUCUGAGAAAGCAGGGACUGUGUUUAUUUCACUUCACAAUUGUAUUCUCCAGGGUUAUGACAUUUUGGUUGUCAUAUGAAAGGCACUCAGAAAUUCUGUUGACUGACUGAAAUCAUCCAUCCUUCAUCUGUCCGUUUGCUCAGCCAACCAUCUACUUACCUCAGUUAUUCAUCCAUGAUGUCCCUUCAGCUAUUCAUUUUCCAUGUAUCGAGUUAUUAUUUCAUCUCUUCAUUCAAUUAAUCCAACCUCCAUUCUUUUAACAUUUAAUUCAUUCGUUAUUCAUCUGCUGGCUCAUCUGUCCAUUCAUUGGCUCAUUUGUACAUUCACUCAUUACAUUAUCCUUUUGUAUGUUUGCUCAUUUAGUUUUCCAUGUAUUCCAGUUCUACUUACAAACUAACUUUUGGCAAAUUUUUAAACUUAUUUGCAUCUAAGUUCCCGUAUACUCAUAAAUGGGGUAAUAAGAGUCCCUGUGUUCUGAAGAUGGAUGAGCUAGUGCGUGGAACUCCUUGGCACAACCCCUGCACGAGUGCUCUGUGGCCGGUGGCUACUGCUCUUCCAGGUGAGUCCUCAGUGUCUUUCAGUUACCGAUUCAUGGACUCCUCUUGUGACUUCACUCCUUCAUCCCUUCUUGUCCAUCUGGCCACCCAUUCAUUUAUCCACUCCUUGAUUCUACACAUCUUCAGCCUUUCUUUUGUAAAAGAACACUGUACUAAUCAAAAUUGUGUGGUUUGAUUAAAUGAUGUGAGAAAUGCUCAUGGUCUAACCACCUGAGUCAAGAAAUAACAUAAACCCUUGCCAGAACCCCAACCCUCCCUUCUGAGAAGCCCACUGCUGGGCCUGUGUCACUCCUGGAGGAGUGUGGUGGGACCUCCGAGGGGCAGGAGUUGUGAGGUUUGGGGUGAGCGUGGCCCCAAGCGCUGUGUCCUGCAGAUGGAGGUCUGCGAGGAGACAGCAGAGGCAGGGAACUACAGCUGGACCCUGUGUGUGCGGUGACAGAAGACAGCCUGGGGCCGGUGGGCAGGG